rnacentral:rRNA from 1 species
UACGUAGGGGGCAAGCGUUGUCCGGAUUUAUUGGGCGUAAAGAGCGUGUAGGCGGCUAGGUAGGUGGGUUGUGAAAACUGGAGGCUCAACCUUCAGACGUCGACCCAAACCCCUGGCUAGCAGUCCGGAAGAGGAGAGUGGAAUUCCUGGUGUAGGCGGUGGAAUGCGUAGAUAUCGGGAGGAACACCGGUGGCGAAGGCGGCAUCCUGGACCGGCAUUGACGCUG